GCAACAGGAAACUUGCUCUGUCAACGCAGUGGUAAGCCGUUCUUGCUCAGCUUGUGAGGCAACCAUCACCAGGUUGGUUGAGUGUUGUGCGGCCUCAGGGAGCGACUGGGCGUGGACAUGCUCGUCAGCGUCAAGUGUGGUUGAGUGUGGUGCGUGCAAGCUCCAUACGGGAUGAUAGCUGGGUCAUUUGUGAUGCUUGGCGGGCCAUUUCUACUACGUAUGCCA
rnacentral:lncRNA from 1 species